rnacentral:rRNA from 1 species
AACUAACAAGGAUUCCCCUAGUAACUGCGAGUGAACCGGGAAAAGCUCAAAUUUUGAAUCUGGCGGUCCAAGGGCCGUCCGAGUUGUAAUCUAGAGAAGCGUCUUCCGCGCUGGACCGUGUAUAAGUUUCCUGGAAUGGAACGUCGUAGAGGGUGACAAUCCCGUCUUUGACACGGACUCCCAGUGCUAUGUGAUGCGCUCUCGACGAGUCGAGUUGUUUGGGAAUGCAGCUCAAAUAGGGUGGUAAAUUCCAUCUAAAGCUAAAUACAGGCGAGAGACCGAUAGCGAACAAGUACCGUGAGGGAAAGAUGAAAAGAACUUUGGAAAGAGAGUUAAACAGUACGUGAAAUUGCUGAAAGGGAAACGCUUGAUGUCAGUCGCAUCGUCCGGGGAUCAGCCUCGCUCUUUUGCUCGGCGUACUUCCUGGUCGAUGGGUCAGCAUCGGUUUCGACCGUCGGAAAAUGGCUCGAGGAACGUGGCACUCUUCGGGGUGUGUUAUAGACUCGAGUCGAAUACGACGGUUGGGACCGAGGAACUCAGCACGACCUUCGGGUUCGGGGCUUUGGCUCACGUUCGCGUGCUUAGGAUGCUGGCAUAAUGGCCUUAAGCGACCCGUC